GAUGAACGCUGGCGGCGUGCCUAAUACAUGCAAGUCGAGCGAACAGACGAGGAGCUUGCUCCUCUGACGUUAGCGGCGGACGGGUGAGUAACACGUGGAUAACCUACCUAUAAGACUGGGAUAACUUCGGGAAACCGGAGCUAAUACCGGAUAAUAUAUUGAACCGCAUGGUUCAAUAGUGAAAGACGGUUUUGCUGUCACUUAUAGAUGGAUCCGCGCCGCAUUAGCUAGUUGGUAAGGUAACGGCUUACCAAGGCAACGAUGCGUAGCCGACCUGAGAGGGUGAUCGGCGACACUGGAACUGAGACACGGUCCAGACUCCUACGGGAGGCAGCAGUAGGGAAUCUUACGCAAUGGGCGAAAGCUUGACGGAGCAACGCCGCGUGAGUGAUGAAGGUCUUCGGAUCGUAAAACUCUGUUAUUAGGGAAGAACAAAUGUGUAAGUAACUAUGCACGUCUUGACGGUACCUAAUCAGAAAGCCACGGCUAACUACGUG
rnacentral:rRNA from 1 species